GUCUCUUCGGGGGACAUCGGAAAAAAUUAGAACGAUAUACAGAGAGAAGAUAAACAUAGUCCCUACACAAGAAUGACACACGCAAAUCGAAAAAUGAUCCAAAAAAUU